rnacentral:lncRNA from 1 species
CUUUGCAACAGGCUUAGCAGCUUUGGGCUUGGCUGCAGCUGGCUUGGGCUUAGCGGCUGGCUUAGUGGCCUUCGGCUUGGCAGCUGCAGCCUUAGGCUUGGGAGCAGCCUUGGGCUUUGCGGCAGGUUUGGACUUGGCUGGAGCCUUGGCCUUAGGCUUGGCAGCAGGUUUUGCCUUAGCAGGUGCCUUUGACUUAGCAGUCUUGGCAUCUUUGGCCUUGGCAGCAGGCUUGGGCUUGGGCUUAGGCUUGGGCUUAGCAGCUGCUGGCUUCUUCUUGGCAGGGGAAGAAGGGGCAG